CCAUUCCACCUAUGGGACAAAACCUUGAAGCUCAAGAUGGGGUAGGCCAAAGCGGACAAUUCCUUUAGUGGGUGGAGCAGGGGCGUUACAAAUGUACAUAUACCUAAGUGCAUAUAAGAAUUUUCUUAAAUUAUAAUUCACCUAGGAAACCUAAGGAUUCACACAAUUUCAUCCACAAAAUGAGCUUAAAGCAACAAUGUUCAUUUGUUAAUGUGUUCCUUAAUAAUGUUAAAAGUGAGAUUUGUUAAGAGUGAGUGUUAAAUUCAAAUCUCACCAAUAAAAUCUCUCUUUUCA
rnacentral:misc_RNA from 1 species